rnacentral:rRNA from 1 species
GACGAACUCUGGCGGCGUGCCUAAUACAUGCAAGUAGAACGCUGAAGAGAGGAGCUUGCUCUUCUUGGAUGAGUUGCGAACGGGUGAGUAACGCGUAGGUAACCUGCCUUGUAGCGGGGGAUAACUAUUGGAAACGAUAGCUAAUACCGCAUAACAAUGGAUGACACAUGUCAUUUAUUUGAAAGGGGCAAUUGCUCCACUACAAGAUGGACCUGCGUUGUAUUAGCUAGUAGGUGAGGUAAUGGCUCACCUAGGCGACGAUACAUAGCCGACCUGAGAGGGUGAUCGGCCACACUGGGACUGAGACACGGCCCAGACUCCUACGGGAGGCAGCAGUAGGGGAUCUUCGGCAAUGGGGGCAACCCUGACCGAGCAACGCCGCGCGAGUGAAGAAGGUUUUCGGAUCGUAAAGCUCUGUUGUAAGUCAAGAACGGGUGUGAGAGUGGAAAGUUCACACUGUGACGGUAGCUUACCAGAAAGGGACGGCUAACUACGUGCCAGCAGCCGCGGUAAUACGUAGGUCCCGAGCGUUGUCCGGAUUUAUUGGGCGUAAAGCGAGCGCAGGCGGUUUGAUAAGUCUGAAGUAAAGGCUGUGGCUCAACCAUAGUUCGCUUUGGAAACUGUCAAACUUGAGUGCAGAAGGGGAGAGUGGAAUUCCAUGUGUAGCGGUGAAAUGCGUAGAUAUAUGGAGGAACACCGGUGGCGAAAGCGGCUCUCUGGUCUGUAACUGACGCUGAGGCUCGAAAGCGUGGGGAGCGAACAGGAUUAGAUACCCUGGUAGUCCACGCCGUAAACGAUGAGUGCUAGGUGUUGGAUCCUUUCCGGGAUUCAGUGCCGCAGCUAACGCAUUAAGCACUCCGCCUGGGGAGUACGACCGCAAGGUUGAAACUCAAAGGAAUUGACGGGGGCCCGCACAAGCGGUGGAGCAUGUGGUUUAAUUCGAAGCAACGCGAAGAACCUUACCAGGUCUUGACAUCCCGAUGCUAUUUCUAGAGAUAGAAAGUUACUUCGGUACAUCGGUGACAGGUGGUGCAUGGUUGUCGUCAGCUCGUGUCGUGAGAUGUUGGGUUAAGUCCCGCAACGAGCGCAACCCCUAUUGUUAGUUGCCAUCAUUCAGUUGGGCACUCUAGCGAGACUGCCGGUAAUAAACCGGAGGAAGGUGGGGAUGACGUCAAAUCAUCAUGCCCCUUAUGACCUGGGCUACACACGUGCUACAAUGGUUGGUACAACGAGUUGCGAGUCGGUGACGGCGAGCUAAUCUCUUAAAGCCAAUCUCAGUUCGGAUUGUAGGCUGCAACUCGCCUACAUGAAGUCGGAAUCGCUAGUAAUCGCGGAUCAGCACGCCGCGGUGAAUACGUUCCCGGGCCU